GGGCGUAAGCGUGCGUAGGCGGCUUUUUAAGUCGGAUGUGAAAUCCCUGAGCUUAACUUAGGAAUUGCAUUCGAUACUGGAAAGCUAGAGUAUGGGAGAGGAUGGUAGAAUUCCAGGUGUAGCGGUGAAAUGCGUAGAGAUCUGGAGGAAUACCGAUGGCGAAGGCAGCCAUCUGGCCUAAUACUGACGCUGAGGUACGAAAGCAUGGGGAGCAAACAGGAUUAGAUACCCUGGUAGUCCAUGCCGUAAACGAUGUCUACUAGCCGUUGGGGCCUUUGAGGCUUUAGUGGCGCAGCUAACGCGAUAAGUAGACCGCCUGGGGAGUACGGUCGCAAGACUAAAACUCAAAUGAAUUGACGGGGGCCCGCACAAGCGGUGGAGCAUGUGGUUUAAUUCGAUGCAACGCGAAGAACCUUACCUGGCCUUGACAUACUAAGAACUUUCCAGAGAUGGAUUGGUGCCUUCGGGAACUUAGAUACAGGUGCUGCAUGGCUGUCGUCAGCUCGUGUCGUGAGAUGUUGGGUUAAGUCCCGCAACGAGCGCAACCCUUUUCCUUAUUUGCCAGCGGGUUAUGCCGGGAACUUUAAGGAUACUGCCAGUGACAAACUGGAGGAAGGCGGAGACGACGUCAAGUCAUCAUGGCCCUUACGGCCAGGGCUACACACGUGCUACA
rnacentral:rRNA from 1 species